rnacentral:tRNA from 1 species
GGGGGUAUAGCCCAGUGGUAGAGCGUGUGCUUAGCAUGCAUGAGGUACUGGGUUUAAUCCCCAUUACCUCCA